AUACGGAGGGUGCGAGCGUUAAUCGGAAUUACUGGGCGUAAAGCGUACGUAGGCGGUUGGUUAAGUUAGAUGUGAAAGCCCCGGGCUUAACCUGGGAACUGCAUUUAAAACUGGCGAACUAGAGUUGAGUAGAGGGGAGUGGAAUUUCAGGUGUAGCGGUGAAAUGCGUAGAGAUCUGAAGGAACACCAGUGGCGAAGGCGACUCCCGGGACUCGAACUGACGCUGAGGUACGAAAGCGUGGGUAGCAAACGGGAUUAGAAACCCUAGUAGUCC
rnacentral:rRNA from 1 species